rnacentral:rRNA from 1 species
GAUGAACGCUGGCGGCGUGCCUAAUACAUGCAAGUCGAGCGAACGGACGAGAAGCUUGCUUCUCUGAUGUUAGCGGCGGACGGGUGAGUAACACGUGGAUAACCUACCUAUAAGACUGGGAUAACUUCGGGAAACCGGAGCUAAUACCGGAUAAUAUUUUGAACCGCAUGGUUCAAAAGUGAAAGACGGUCUUGCUGUCACUUAUAGAUGGAUCCGCGCUGCAUUAGCUAGUUGGUAAGGUAACGGCUUACCAAGGCAACGAUGCAUAGCCGACCUGAGAGGGUGAUCGGCCACACUGGAACUGAGACACGGUCCAGACUCCUACGGGAGGCGGCAGUAGGGAAUCUUCCGCAAUGGGCGAAAGCCUGACGGAGCAACGCCGCGUGAGUGAUGAAGGUCUUCGGAUCGUAAAACUCUGUUAUUAGGGAAGAACAUAUGUGUAAGUAACUGUGCACAUCUUGACGGUACCUAAUCAGAAAGCCACGGCUAACUACGUGCCAGCAGCCGCGGUAAUACGUAGGUGGCAAGCGUUAUCCGGAAUUAUUGGGCGUAAAGCGCGCGUAGGCGGUUUUUUAAGUCUGAUGUGAAAGCCCACGGCUCAACCGUGGAGGGUCAUUGGAAACUGGAAAACUUGAGUGCAGAAGAGGAAAGUGGAAUUCCAUGUGUAGCGGUGAAAUGCGUAGAGAUAUGGAGGAACACCAGUGGCGAAGGCGACUUUCUGGUCUGUAACUGACGCUGAUGUGCGAAAGCGUGGGGAUCAAACAGGAUUAGAUACCCUGGUAGUCCACGCCGUAAACGAUGAGUGCUAAGUGUUAGGGGGUUUCCGCCCCUUAGUGCUGCAGCUAACGCAUUAAGCACUCCGCCUGGGGAGUACGACCGCAAGGUUGAAACUCAAAGGAAUUGACGGGGACCCGCACAAGCGGUGGAGCAUGUGGUUUAAUUCGAAGCAACGCGAAGAACCUUACCAAAUCUUGACAUCCUUUGACAACUCUAGAGAUAGAGCUUUCCCCUUCGGGGGACAAAGUGACAGGUGGUGCAUGGUUGUCGUCAGCUCGUGUCGUGAGAUGUUGGGUUAAGUCCCGCAACGAGCGCAACCCUUAAGCUUAGUUGCCAUCAUUAAGUUGGGCACUCUAAGUUGACUGCCGGUGACAAACCGGAGGAAGGUGGGGAUGACGUCAAAUCAUCAUGCCCCUUAUGAUUUGGGCUACACACGUGCUACAAUGGACAAUACAAAGGGCAGCGAAACCGCGAGGUCAAGCAAAUCCCAUAAAGUUGUUCUCAGUUCGGAUUGUAGUCUGCAACUCGACUACAUGAAGCUGGAAUCGCUAGUAAUCGUAGAUCAGCAUGCUACGGUGAAUACGUUCCCGGGUCU